rnacentral:rRNA from 1 species
CCUACGGGAGGCUGCAGUGGGGAAUAUUGGACAAUGGGGGCAACCCUGAUCCAGCCAUGCCGCGUGUGUGAAGAAGGCCCUCGGGUUGUAAAGCACUUUCAGUGAGGAAGAACGCCUGGUGGUUAAUACCCAUCAGGAAAGACAUCACUCACAGAAGAAGCACCGGCUAACUCCGUGCCAGCAGCCGCGGUAAUACGGAGGGUGCGAGCGUUAAUCGGAAUUACUGGGCGUAAAGCGCGCGUAGGUGGCUUGAUAAGCCGGUUGUGAAAGCCCUGGGCUCAACCUGGGAACGGCAUCCGGAACUGUCAAGCUAGAGUGCAGGAGAGGAAGGUAGAAUUCCCGGUGUAGCGGUGAAAUGCGUAGAGAUCGGGAGGAAUACCAGUGGCGAAGGCGGCCUUCUGGACUGACACUGACACUGAGGUGCGAAAGCGUGGGUAGCAAACAGGAUUAGAUACCCGUGUAGUC